rnacentral:lncRNA from 1 species
CCAUGAAACUGAACAUAAAUACAUAUAUCUUUAUUUCACUUUGAGGCAAUAUGUUUAUACUUAAAACAGAGUUAUCUCCCUUCUUGCACUAUACCAUAUAAAAAUAUAUAGUUAAAUUACCUCCCUUCUCACUACAGAUAACAAAGGAAUUCAACGGAUCAUACACAUAUUUAAAAUUAAAUCUGAUUAUAGACAUAGAAAAGAUAGAUAUAUCUUGUAAAAACAUAGAAAAUGUACAUUUGAUUAAAUCUAACAGAGCAUCAAUCAGAUAAUAACAGUUGACAAACAUUAAUGAAGCACACAUCGGAUUUCUUCAUACACGAUGGAUGGAACAAGACAUGUAUUGAUUUUGGUGAAGCUGUGUCAAGCUAAAUGAAAAAUAUGGGGAAAGUUGAUAAUGAAUCAUAAGGAUCCCUGUACCACUGCCAAAAAACUUCACAACAUUAAAAACCUUUCCCCUACAUGACUAAAGCUUUGAUUAAGCAUUUCUUAAAACAAAAUCAUAUUUUAUAAAACUAAUAUGGAAAAUUAACAAGCAUCAAAUCAACAACAAAGAAUCAGUAUUUUGAUUGUAAAAACACUACGGGGCCAGACCAGACCUGGAUUCAAGCCCAUUUGGUUUUGAGGGUCCAGCAGCUCUUAUAGAGCAAUGCCUUCAGCGACAUAACCACGCACCAAUUGACAUCAUUUGUUAGAUGCGUUCCCCUAGCGAAAAUAACUAUAGCUAUGUAAAAGAUGUGCACUGAUUAAGUUGCCUUACAAGCGUCAGCUGUAGGGAAUUUCUCUUUAGCUCAGCUGUAGAGCAUCGGGCUGGAGAGCCAAGGGUCGUGGGUUCAAGCCCCAGUGACAGCACUAUCUUUAUCACUGUUCCUCGUUCUACUACAGCUAUGCAUACAAUAUAUACUUAUCCAUCUGACAAAAUUACGACACGGACUCAUUCACUGCAUACUUGUAAUAACAUAUAACAUAGGAGAAGUGUGAUGAAAAGGACGAAAGAUUCAACUUGAUCGAUCUGAUUAUUUGUCAAUGAUCAGCACAAUAAACAGAGGGAUUCUGUGUUUUUACUCAAUACUUAAUAAAGGUACACCCUCACAUAAAUGUUCAUACAUAAAUGUACAUCCUAAAAUGGAAGGUACAUCCCCAAAUGGAGGUACAUCCUCACAUAAACAUACAUCCUCACAUAAACAUACAUCCCCAAAUGGAGGUACAUCCUCACAUAAACAUACAUCCUCACAUAAACAUACAUCCUCACAUACAUCCUCACAUGAACAUACAUCCCCAAAUGGAGGUACAUCCUCACAUAAACAUACAUCCUCACAUAAACAUACAUCCCCAAAUGGAGGUACAUCCUCACAUAAACAUACAUCCUCACAUAAACAUACAUCCCCAAAUGGAGGUACAUCCUCACAUAAACAUACAUCCUCACAUAAACAUACAUCCCCAAAUGGAGGUACAUCCUCACAUAAACAUACAUCCUCACAUAAACAUACAUCCCCAAAUGGAGGUACAUCCUCACAUAAACAUACAUCCCCAAAUGGAGGUACAUCCUCACAUAAACAUACAUCCCCAAAUGGAAGUACAUCGUCAUAUAAACGUACAAUCCGAAAGUGGAAGAACAUCCCCAUAUAAAGCUAUAUAAAGAUAAUGGAAUGUUUUAGUCCUUCAUUUUGUAUUGGUGAUUUUUUGUGAACUUACAUGUACAUAUAUGUAUGAAUGGACUGACAAUUCAAAAUAAGAGUAGAAGUCCUUCCUCUAAACUUAGGUGAUCACAUAUCAAUAUUUUUCCAAAUUCUUCCUCCUGAUGACUUCACAGACAACUGGGGAAUGAUCAGGGUUCAACAAAAACAGAUGCUGUGCCACAGAAUAGCAACCGCACACAUUACCACUGACACGUAUGGGGUACACAGUAAAAACAUCACAAAUCAUCAUCAUCAACCCGUCAUGGGUUUCAGUUGAAAGGUCAAAUAUUAUCACACUGACGGGUCAUGAUCAGGGGUCCCAUUUGAAAUACCAUGCAUCACCAUUGGCUCAUCAGGCAUAACAGUGGUAAGUUGAUGAUCAGGUGUCAAAGCAGUAGGGUGGCGAUCAGGUGUCACAGCAGUAAGGUGGCGAUCAGUUGUCACAGCAGUAAGGUAGCGAUCAGGUGUCACAGCAGUAAGGUGGCGAUCAGGUGUCACAGCAGUAAGGUGAUGAUCAGGUGUCACAGCAGUAAGGUGGCGAUCAGGUGUCACAGCAGUAAGGUGGCGAUCAGGUGCCACAGUAGGAAGGUGGCUAUCAGGUGUCACAGCAGUAAGGUGGCGAUCAGGUGUCACAGCAGUAAGGUGGCGAUCAGGUGUCACAGCAGUAAGGUGGCGAUCAGGUGUCACAGCAGUAAGGUGGCAGUCAGGUGCCACAGUAGUUAGGUGAUGAUCAGGUGCCACAGUAGUUAGAUGAUGAUCAGGUGUCAUAGCAGUAAGGUGGCAGUCAGGUGUCACAGUGGUAAGAUGAUGAUCAGGUGUCACAGUGGUAAGAUGAUGAUCAGGUGUCACAGUAGCUAGAUGCUGAUCAGGUGUCACAGUAGUUAGAUGAUGAUCAGGUGUCACAAUGUAUAUGAAGUUAGGUGAUGAUCAGGUGUCACAGUAGUAAGAUGAUGAUCAGGUGUCACAGUAGUUAGAUGAUGAUCAGGUGUCACAAUGUAUAUGUAGUUAGGUGAUGAUCAGGUG